AAACAACAACCACUUUAUUAUAUUUUAUAAUUUUUGUAGGUUAAGGAUUUGGGCAGGGCUCAGCUAGUGGGUUUUCUGCAUUACUUGUGGUGUUGACAGAAGUCAACCCAUGUUAAUUACCUGGUGGAUGGGCUAGUUUGGAGAGUCCAAGGUGGAGUAGCUCACGUGUCUGGAACCUUGGUGGGGAUGGUGGCUCAUCCAGUGAUCUUGGGGUAGUUAGAACCUUUACUUGGCAGCCCAGGGCUCCAAAAUAAGUGUUCUAGGAAACAAAGAGGAAGCUGUAAGGCCUUUUAUGACAAAGCCUUGGACGUCAGCUACUCUGUUGGUGAAAGCAGUCUCAAGCCUACUCACAUUCAAAUGGGUUUCAUGGAAUAUGGUAUAGCAUGGAAUCUGUGGCCAUAUUUUAAAUUGCCACAGCAGCCCAAGAUAAGUUAAAUGUACACUUACAUUUUUUUCUAGCUUGUUUAUGCCCCUCUGCCUCCUCCUGCCCCUCCUUUCCCUUCUCCUUCUCCUCCUCCUUUCUUUCUUUAUAGAAAUAUUAAAUCCUUAAUCCAUAUGGAGAUCAUUUAAUACAGAUUUAUAAUGAGGUUCAAAUUUGAAUUAUUUCUCUAGUAAAUGGUUUUACUGUAAUUUUUUUUGUUGUUGGAUAAUCGUUUCUUUACUGAGAGCUGCUGACUUUUAUAGAUACUAGGGACUGUGCGAAUGUUCUGUUAAUGGGGAAGAAAAUGCCGUUCAUGCUAUAUGAUUCGUUUUCUAGCACUGGUCUCACUUGUCCAGCUUUCAGUCUGAGAAGCAACCAAGCACACUGCUGAUGCUGGGCUGUUCAGCUCUUAUAUGGUAAAUUUGCUUCUGUGGCCUGAGUCCAGAACACAUCCUAGUCUUCUCUGGAGAGAAGCAGAGUCAGGGGAAGGAAGAGAUUUUGUAAUGUGGACAGUGUUCAGUGUUCAUUGCUGAGGAAUCGAGAGUCAGUUUGCAUUCGUCAUGGGCGGAGGACCCCGCAGCUGGUGGAAGGCCAGCAGCAGUGUAAAGGAAAAAGACGUGUGAAUGAAGAACCCUUGAAAUUGACCCCAGCUGUAGGCACUCGCCACACUUGCCUCAAUCUCCUGGGAGACCCGGAGUCAGACUAGUUCAGCUCAGCUGCUCUCAAAUUCCUGGCCCGCAAAACCUGCAAGAGCUAAUAAACAACAUUGCUUUGGUAAGGCUAAAAGUUUUGGGCUGAUUUCUUAUGCAUUGCUAGAUAACAAAUACAGACAUGAUAUCAACUAGUAACUCUGUGUGACAUG
rnacentral:lncRNA from 1 species